ACAUGCAGAGAACUUUACCAGAGAUGGAUUGGUGCCUUCGGGAACGUCUGACACAGGUGCUGCAUGGCUGUCGUCAGCUCGUGUCGCGAGAUGUUGGGUUAAGUCCCGUAACGAGCGCAACCCUUGUCCUUAGUUACCAGCACGUUAUGGUGGGCACUCUAAGGAGACUGCCGGUGACAAACCGGAGGAAGGUGGGGAUGACGUCAAGUCAUCAUGGCCCUUACGGCCUGGGCUACACACGUGCUACAAUGGUCGGUACAAAGGGUUGCCAAGCCGCGAGGUGGAGCUAAUCCCAUAAAACCGAUCGUAGUCCGGAUCGCAGUCUGCAACUCGACUGCGUGAAGUCGGAAUCGCUAGUAAUCGUGAAUCAGAAUGUCACGGUGAAUACGUUCCCGGGCCUU
rnacentral:rRNA from 1 species